UACGAAGGGGGCUAGCGCUGUUCGGAAUUACUGGGCGUAAAGCGCGCGCAGGCGGUCCUUCAAGUCAGAGGUGAAAGCCCAGAGCUCAACUCUGGAACGGCCUUUGAGACUAGAGGACUUGGGUACGGGAGAGGUGAGUGGAAUUCCGAGUGUAGAGGUGAAAUUCGUAGAUAUUCGGAAGAACACCAGUGGCGAAGGCGGCUCACUGGCCCGUUACCGACGCUCAGGCGCGACAGCGUGGGGAGCAAACAGG
rnacentral:rRNA from 1 species